rnacentral:rRNA from 1 species
UACAGAGGUCCCGAGCGUUGUUCGGAUUCAUUGGGCGUAAAGGGUGCGUAGGUGGCGCUGUAAGUCAGGUGUGAAAUUUCGGAGCUCAACUCCGAAACUGCAUUUGAUACUGCGGUGCUUGAGGACUGGAGAGGAGACUGGAAUUCACGGUGUAGCAGUGAAAUGCGUAGAUAUCGUGAGGAAGACCAGUGGCGAAGGCGGGUCUCUGGACAGUUCCUGACACUGAGGCACGAAGGCCAGGGGAGCAAACGGG